AGCUUUCAGUAUGGUUGGUGCAUAUGGGUAAAAAGGAGGGGUUCUGCUGAUCAGUUUCCAAAUGGAAUUUUACAGCUUUCUUUGGCAAGAGAAGACAACCAGGUGCUGAAACCAGUUCAGGGCAGAUUGGGUACAUUGAGCCAUCCCCAGUGUGAGCUUCCAGUUAAAUCUGAUUUAAGAGGAUUGCCACAAUGACCUGACUAAGCAGAGCUCUUUGAAAAAGGGAGUGGCCCAGAAGAGUGCAGGUGUCAGUUCAGUCGCCGUGUCCAGCUGAAUUAAAACAUGCACAGAAAUGGACCAACCAUUCACUUCUUGACAGAUUUGACAGGGAGGAAGUAAACUGGAUUAGAGCAGGGAGAGAGAAAAAUCCUUUGGUGCUGGAUUUGUUAAUGAAAAAAAGCAACUUGAGAAAGACUGGGUGGUAAGAUCCUAAUGCAGAGCAGAUGGUAGUUUUCACUUCAGGCAGAGUCAGGAUAAGUUCUCACAUCCUUUAUAGAUGUUAUCCUAACUAAACAGCUCACAUAAAAACAACACAGCCUUUAAUUUUUGCUGAAUUUUUACACAGAGUUAGCUUUCUAGCAUGAAAUAUAUGUUAUCUCUUCAUGAAGAUAAACUCUUUGUGUUGCCUUUAAUUAAGGACAUUUGGCAUGUUUAUUUCUAAGUGUCACACAGAUUGAUUUUUUUUCUUUCCCCCAGCACAAGUAGUCCUGGUACCCACUAAGAUGUUUUCUUAAAAAACAACAAGAAAACCAUUUUUCUAAUGAGCUAUUGGAGGCAGCCCCCAUUACCUGUGCAGGUACUUUGUGUCCUCUCUGAAUAACAGAAGUUCAUGGCUGUUGGGCUUUGAACACUCACUGCAUCUUAAAAAUAGAUUUCUGUUACUAAGAGAUCAAUUUUCUUCCUCCCUUUCACUCUAGGAAUUCCAAAGGUAAAUACCAUGUGAAAGAGAAGCCAUUUGCUUGGUCACUUACUGUGCAGCAGGGGGAAAAUGCCAAACCCCAGAAUACCAAAACACAAGGGAUAAGCAGAAUAUAUCUACUGCAAAUGAUCUGAAUAUUUAGGUUUUCUCGGUGUCUUGCUGAUUUCCUUGAUGCUCAGAAGAUCCACCUGAAUGGGAGAUCUCAGUGAUCUGUGUGCUCUGGAAGGGCUGAGAAGAGUUUGUCUCUACUGAGCUGCUGCUUUAGGUUGGCAUCACAAAACUCUCUGAUGUUUCCUCUUGUAUGAUUCUGUCUCGGUAGUGGAGACAGAAACCUCACAGAACUUCCAUUUUGCUAUUAACAUCUUACACCAAUUGGGAAAAAAAUAAAAAAAAUCAUUUACAAGUCUCCUCACCAUCCACUUCUGAAAUUCUAAUGACUUUUGAAAAUGUUGCUCUUUUACACUCCAGCAGGCUGAAAGAAGAUUACACGGUUCUUGAUGUUUUAUCAAGAGUGUUACAAAUAUUAUUCUGCUGACUUCUUGACAAGAAGCUCC